UACGUAGGGGGCAGGCGUUGUCCGGAAUCAUUGGGCGUAAAGAGCGCGUAGGCGGUCCGGUAAGUCCGCUCUGAAAGUCCGGGGCUCAACCCCGGGAGGCGGGCGGAUACUGUCGGGCUAGAGUCCGGAAGAGGCGAGUGGAAUUCCGGGUGUAGCGGUGGAAUGCGUAGAGAUCCGGAAGAACACCGGUGGCGAAGGCGGCCUGCUGGGCAGUAGCUGACGCUGAGGCGCGACAGCGUGGGGAGCAAACAGG
rnacentral:rRNA from 1 species